rnacentral:rRNA from 1 species
UGGUGCGAUCAUACCAGUGUUAAUACACCGUAUCCCAUCGGAAAUUCAUAGUUAAGUGUGCUUGGGCUAGAGUAGUACUUGGAUGGGUGACCUACCGGGAAGUCCUAGUGUUUCACCUU